UGGGGAAUUUUGGACAAUGGGGGAAACCCUGAUCCAGCCAUCCCGCGUGUGCGAUGAAGGCCUUCGGGUUGUAAAGCACUUUUGGCAGGAAAGAAACGUCAUGGGUUAAUACCCCGUGAAACUGACGGUACCUGCAGAAUAAGCACCGGCUAACUACGUGCCAGCAGCCGCGGUAAGACGUAGGGUGCAAGCGUUAAUCGGAAUUACUGGGCGUAAAGCGUGCGCAGGCGGUUCGGAAAGAAAGAUGUGAAAUCCCAGAGCUCAACUUUGGAACUGCAUUUUUAACUACCGGGCUAGAGUGUGUCAGAGGGAGGUGGAAUUCCGCGUGUAGCGGUGAAAUGCGUAGAUAUGCGGAGGAACACCGAUGGCGAAGGCAGCCUCCUGGGAUAACACUGACGCUCAUGCACGAAAGCGUGGGGAGCAAACAGG
rnacentral:rRNA from 1 species